rnacentral:rRNA from 1 species
AUGCGCUUCGUCCGCAACAUCACGGUGCGGUCCACGACGACGCUCCCCGGUGGUGAUGAGGAGUGCGCGGUGUUGCAUGAGGUGUCGGCGCUGCUCUUCUCGUUCCUCCUAGUCUUCAAGAGCCUCUCGAACUACGACCUCGUGGACCUCACCGCCGACAACCGCACCCGCUGCUUCCGGCACCUCCAGGUGGGCCUCACCUGCCACGCCGAGUUCAGCAUCGACCCGCUCCGCGUGGCGCCGUUCGCAAAGCUGGCCAACACGUGCAACGCGAUGCUGGGCGUGCGUGGCGCCGGGCUGACCAACAUGGUGUUCCCGCCCACGUGA